CCUACGGGUGGCAGCAGUGGGGGAUAUUGCACAAUGGGGGAAACCCUGAUGCAGCGAUGCCGCGUGAAUGAAGACGUCCUUCGGGUUGUAAAGUUCUGUCGCAGGGGACGAAAAUGACGGUACCCUGCAAAAAAGCUCCGGCUAACUACGUGCCAGCAGCCGCGGUAAUACGUAGGGACCAAGCGUUGUCCGGAAUUACUGGGGGAAAAGGGAGCGUAGGCGGGAGGCAAAGUUAAAUGUGAAAUCUAUGGGCUGAACCCCUGACUGCGUUUAAAACUGUGUUUCUUGAGUGAAGUAGCGGUAAGCGGAAUUCCUAGUGUAGCGGUGAAAUGCGUAGAUAUUAGGAGGAACACCAGUGGCGAAGGCGGCCUGCUGGGCUUUUACUGACGUUGAGGCUCGAAGGCGUGGGUAGCAAACAGGAUUAGAUACCCCGGUAGUC
rnacentral:rRNA from 1 species